rnacentral:rRNA from 1 species
AGAGUUUGAUUAUGGCUCAGGAUGAACGCUAGCGAUAGGCCUAACACAUGCAAGUCGAGGGGCAGCACAUGAAGUAGCAAUACGGAUGGUGGCGACCGGCGCACGGGUGAGUAACGCGUAUGCAACCUGCCUACAACAGGGGAAUAACCCGUUGAAAGACGGACUAAUACCCCAUAACACAGGGAUCCCGCAUGGGAAUAUUUGUUAAAGAUUUAUCGGUUGUAGAUGGGCAUGCGUUCCAUUAGCUUGUUGGUGAGGUAACGGCUCACCAAGGCAACGAUGGAUAGGGGAACUGAGAGGUUUAUCCCCCACACUGGUACUGAGACACGGACCAGACUCCUACGGGAGGCAGCAGUGAGGAAUAUUGGUCAAUGGACGCAAGUCUGAACCAGCCACGUCGCGUGAAGGAAGACGGCCCUACGGGUUGUAAACUUCUUUUGUAAGGGAAUAAAGUGCAGUACGUGUACUGUUUUGCAUGUACCUUACGAAUAAGGAUCGGCUAACUCCGUGCCAGCAGCCGCGGUAAUACGGAGGAUCCGAGCGUUAUCCGGAUUUAUUGGGUUUAAAGGGUGCGCAGGCGGGAGAUUAAGUCGGCGGUGAAAUUUUGCAGCUCAACUGUAAAAGUGCCUUCGAAACUGGUUUUCUUGAGUGUGGAUGAAGUAGGCGGAAUUUGUGGUGUAGCGGUGAAAUGCAUAGAUAUCACGAGGAACUCCGAUUGCGCAGGCAGCUUACUAAACCAUAACUGACGCUCAGGCACGAAGGCGUGGGGAUCAAACAGGAUUAGAUACCCUGGUAGU